rnacentral:misc_RNA from 1 species
UCCGAGUUGACCCCGGCAGUCUCCUGCGAGUCCCCGCCAUUACGCGCUGGCAACACAGGACAAGGGUUGCGCUCGUUGCGGGACUUAACCCAACAUCUCACGACACGAGCUGACGACAACCAUGCACCACCUGUCACCGGCCCCGAAGGACCCCCUAUCUCUAGAGGUUUUCCGGCGAUGUCAAGCCCAGGUAAGGUUCUUCGCGUUGCAUCGAAUUAAGCCGCAUGCUCCGCCGCUUGUGCGGGCCCCCGUCAAUUCCUUUGAGUUUUAGCCUUGCGGCCGUACUCCCCAGGCGGGGCGCUUAAUGCGUUAGCUACGGCACAGGAACCGUGAACCAGUCCCCACACCUAGCGCCCAACGUUUACAGCGUGGACUAC